AUGUAAUGUUUCCUGAAGCCAACAUCUCAUCGAAUCUACAUCCAGGCUGUUACCACCAAUCAUCCAUAAGGAGCUCGUAUUAGUUUGAUCAAAACAACACCAGCAAACCAGAAAAAUGUGAAGGAGGAGCCAGAAAAUCCCAUGGGGUUCACCUGUGAUGGAAACACGCCAGUCAUGUUUCCCAGCCAUGCCAGGUGUCCAAAGCUCAGCACCUACAAAGGAGUAGAACCCAGACUCCCACCGGUUGAACCCGCCUACUACGUAUUUCUAGGAACGUCAUCGCUGAACGGGGGGAAAAAAAAAUCAAGAACAAAAACAAACACAAAACUAAACAAAAACAGGACAAUAAAGUGAAAUUGGAAUCUGUUAAUACUAAAUCAUGCCGCAGUCCAAAUACUAAAGGCAUUUUACACCAGAAGACUGCCGAUUUUAAAGUGAGCUUUUUCAAGAACCCAGAAGUUUCCAUCCCUGCCAAGCCCAGAUUCCUACUAAUCAAAAUCAAGGCACAAACUCUCUCUUUGAGUUUUGCUAAUGAAAACCAGAGCUCCUCUUGACAACGCAAGUUUCUUCUGGAGGCUAAACCCCCCACUUCUGUGCGUAAACUCACCUCCGUCUGCUGGAGAACAAAUGUUGGCUAACGUCAAGCCAUGUUGAGUUCACUCUCAACCAACACUCCUUUUCACAUAUGGCGCUGUCGGCCUAUGUCUUUCCAGCCGGAAGCAGUUGAACCUGUGCUUGGGACCUCGCAUUUACCCAACGUAUUGAUUUUGUUAAAACCAGACCCCGCACCCUCUCAUUUGCACCCUUCGGGAUAUUGAUUUCUAUCUCCAUCGUGCUUACUAGGCCGCCAGCUUCAAGCUGUACAUUAAUUUAAUAAACCUCUUUCCAAAUGUUCAUGCAAAUCACAGAUUAAAAGGAAAAAAAAAUCAUAAGGCAAGGGCAAAGCUCCAAAGCAUGUCACUAGACACUUUCCACCGGAUUAACGUUUACUUUUAAAUCAGUCCCUUUAAAAAUAAAAGCUCUUUAAUCAGUAGCGGCUCCACUCACGUGUCCUUUCUCUCUCGCCAGACGCCGUGCUGUCAGCAUUCUGGAUGAAGUGAAUCGCGCAGAACUUGCUCGUGGUGAGCCCACGCUGGCUGCUAGGUCUGUGGUUUCCUCUUCUAGGUGCUCACACGCCAGCCCUUUGAUCUUCCACCAGGCUUUCUGGAAGCUUCUUCAGUUGCAGACCCCAUCUUCUUUCUUGGUUGGAAAUCUGAACUCCAUUUGUUGGUCUCCAGUUUUCCAAACCACUUAGGUUUUCCGUGCUUCACAAAGACCACCCAUAGCAGUUUGGGUGAUCUGAUCUGACGAGUUUCUUUCAGUAACAUGGGCUAUAAUUUUCCGGCCUGGAAUGCCACAAGUGUCCGUUUCGUCAUCUAGAAAAUGGAGACUGUAACAGCAUUACCCCACACGGUGGUUUGCUAAUUAAAUGGCAUCAUGCACUUAAAGGGCUGCUGUCCGGCACGUAGGAAACAUUCCCCCCAAAUUUGUAACAAGCCACCACAUCGUUUCCUCCUGACAGCACCUCCAGUUUGAUUGGCCUAAAAACCCACCUCUUCCAGAAGCCGCAUUUGCUCCUAAAUUUCCUAAAUCUUUACACGAUGUCACUAUUCUCGCAGUCACUGAAGCCUGACACUCAAAAGCGUCUUUGAUCACCACUUGCCUUCUCGCCCACAUCAAUCGAUGUUAAGUCUGGUAGGUUUCAUCCCUGCAAUGCUACAGACACCACCCCCUUACUUCCAUCCCAUGGUCACCGUGACGGGUCGAAUGGCCGUGUCGCCUCAAAGCACAUGCAUUGAAGCCCUUAAUGCCCAGUGUGACUUAUUUGGAGACAGGUCCUGUGAGAUGAUAAAGGAAUGAUGAGGUCAUAACGGUGGGGCCCCAAUCCAACAGGGCUGUUGUUUGUGUAAGAAGAGGAAGAGACCCCAGAGAUCUCUCUCUCUCUCCACCACGUCAAGGCACAGUGAGAAAACGGUCGUCUACAAGGCAGAAGGAUCUUCACUGACAAUCAAAGUGGCUAACACCCUUGGACAGUCUGAGACUUGUCAGCCUCCAGAAUGGCGAGAACUAAACUUUUGGUUUAGUUUGCACCAACAGCCUCCUGACUCUUGCCCCCACUCCCACCUUUCCCCACUCCAUCCAAGUACCAACCAGGCCCGACCCUGCUUAGCUUCUGAGAUCAGGCGAGAUCAGGCACGUUGAGGGUGGUAUGGCCGUAGACUACCUUUCUCUACUCCAACUCACCUCUCCCACUGCUCCCAGCCUCCCAAUACUUCUUGACUUCUGCCCCUACAUCACCAGAAACUUCCCAUUGUUUGCCAAACUGAGCGUAAAUUCACCAGUACUUUCGAGGUAUCCCAGGUAAGCUUCACAUAUAAGCCCUCUUUAUGAUCCCAAUCUGACCCUGGAAACUCCUGUUCCUCGUUCCUGAUAUGGACUCUGCUCUAGCCAAACAAAACUUCUCAUAGUCCCUAAGAACAUCGUCGAUCAUUUGCAUUUUUUGACUGAUCUCUGCACCCAAACAGAAAGACUGGCUGACUUAAUAGUGACAUAAACAAGUAAGAGUAUUAUUUUCAUAUAGUAAGUCCAGAGAUGGGAAGUUACUUCUCUUGGUUUUGUGGCUCAAUAAUGUCACCAGAGAUCAGCAAUUUUUUUUCUUU